GACGAACGCUGGCGGCGUGCUUAACACAUGCAAGUCGAACGGUGAACUCCGCUUGCGGGGGGAUCAGUGGCGAACGGGUGAGUAACACGUGGGCAACCUGCCCUCAGCUCUGGGAUAACUCCAAGAAAUUGGGGCUAAUACCGGAUAUGACCGCUGACCGCAUGGUCUGGUGGUGGAAAGAUUUAUCGGCUGGGGAUGGGCCCGCGGCCUAUCAGCUUGUUGGUGGGGUAGUGGCCUACCAAGGCGACGACGGGUAGCCGGCCUGAGAGGGUGACCGGCCACACUGGGACUGAGACACGGCCCAGACUCCUACGGGAGGCAGCAGUGGGGAAUAUUGCGCAAUGGGAGAAAGCCUGACGCAGCGACGCCGCGUGGGGGAUGACGGCCUUCGGGUUGUAAACCUCUUUCAGCAGGGACGAAGCGAAAGUGACGGUACCUGCAGAAGAAGCACCGGCCAACUACGUG
rnacentral:rRNA from 1 species